rnacentral:rRNA from 1 species
UACAGAGGUCUCAAGCGUUGUUCGGAUUCAUUGGGCGUAAAGGGUGUGUAGGUGGCGCCGUUAGUCGGGUGUGAAAUUUCGGAGCUUAACUCCGAAACUGCAUUCGAUACUGCGGUGCUUGAGGACUGGAGAGGAGACUGGAAUUCAUGGUGUAGCAGUGAAAUGCGUAGAGAUCAUGAGGAAGACCAGUGGCGAAGGCGGGUCUCUGGACAGUUCCUGACACUGAGACACGAAGGCCAGGGGAGCGAACGGG